AGGGAAGGAUUUCAGGCCCAAGGCCCAAGUGGAGCAGGAAGAAGCACACGCUCACCUCAGUUGCCUUCUUUGCUGAGGGCGCACUGUCCAGCACGCCGGCAGACAGACCCAGAUCAGAAGGCCUGGACUUGGUACGUGAACGCCAGAAGGGCUGAGGUGCUGUUUCCCGAGGAGCUGUUCCAGGACUAGCGAGGAGCCUUUCCAAGCGUCACAGAAGGACGGGCCAGAGUUAACAUGGCAUAGAGUUGUUUGUUGCAUAAU